rnacentral:rRNA from 1 species
UGCAUGUCUAAGUAUAAAUAACUUUAUACUGUGAAACUGCGUACAGCUCAUUAUAUCAGCAAUAAUUUAUUUGAUGGUUUCUUACUACUUGGAUAACCGUAGUAAUUCUAGAGCUAAUACAUGCGUAAGGCCUGGACUCUUGCGGGAACGGGCGUAUUUAUUAGAUAAAAAACCAAUGCGUUCCUCUGGGACGGUUGUUUGGUGAUUCAUAAUAACUUUUCGAAUCGCACGGCCUUGUGCUGGCGAUAGUUCAUUCAAAUUUCUGCCCUAUCAGCUUUCGACGGUAGUGUAGUGGACUACCGUGGCGUUAACGGGUGACGGAGAAUUAGGGUUCGAUUCCGGAGAGGGAGCCUGAGAAACGGCUACCACAUCCAAGGAAGGCAGCAGGCGCGCAAAUUACCCAAUGAACGAAGUUCGAGGUAGUGACGAAAAAUAACAAUACAAGACUCAUCCGAGGCCUUGUAAUUGGAAUGAGUACACUUUAAAACCGUUUCACGAGGAUCUAUUGGAGGGCAAGUCUGGUGCCAGCAGCCGCGGUAAUUCCAGCUCCAAUAGCGUAUAUUAAAGUUGUUGUGGUUAAAAAGCUCGUAGUUGGAUUUCGGCGGGUAUUGGUUGGUUUGAAUUGCUUCAAUACUGACUUUUUUACCCGUGUGUUUUGCCAGAAUUUAACGGGUG